AACGAACGCUGGCGGCAUGCCUAAUACAUGCAAGUCGAACGAGAUCUUCGGAUCUAGUGGCGCACGGGUGCGUAACGCGUGGGAAUCUGCCCUUGGGUUCGGAAUAACUUCUGGAAACGGAAGCUAAUACCGGAUGAUGACGUAAGUCCAAAGAUUUAUCGCCCAAGGAUGAGCCCGCGUAGGAUUCGCUAGUUGGUGGGGUAAAGGCCCACCAAGGCGACGAUCCUUAGCUGGUCUGAGAGGAUGAUCAGCCACACUGGGACUGAGACACGGCCCAGACUCCUACGGGAAGCAGCAGUAGGGAAUAUUGGACAAUGGGGGAAACCCUGAUCCAGCAAUGCCGCGUGAGUGAUGAAGGCCUUAGGGUUGUAAAGCUCUUUUACCCGGGAUGAUAAUGACAGUACCGGGAGAAUAAGCUCCGGCUAACUCCGUG
rnacentral:rRNA from 1 species